rnacentral:rRNA from 1 species
GAGGAAUAUUGGUCAAUGGGCGAGAGCCUGAACCAGCCAAGUCGCGUGAAGGAUGACUGUCUUAUGGAUUGUAAACUUCUUUUAUACGGGAAUAACAAGAGUCACGUGUGGCUCCCUGCAUGUACCGUAUGAAUAAGCAUCGGCUAACUCCGUGCCAGCAGCCGCGGUAAUACGGAGGAUGCGAGCGUUAUCCGGAUUUAUUGGGUUUAAAGGGUGCGUAGGCGGCCUGUUAAGUCAGCGGUGAAAUCUAGGAGCUUAACUCCUAAAUUGCCAUUGAUACUGGCGGGCUUGAGUGUAGAUGAGGUAGGCGGAAUGCGUGGUGUAGCGGUGGAAUGCAUAGAUAUCACGCAGAACUCCGAUUGCGAAGGCAGCUUACUAAGGUACAACUGACGCUGAAGCACGAAAGCGUGGGUAUCAAACAGGAUUAGAUACCCUGGUAGUCCACGCAGUAAACGAUGAUAACUGGGCGUAUGCGAUAUACAGUAUGCUCCUAAGUGAAAGCGUUAAGUUAUCCACCUGGGGAGUACGCCGGCAACGGUG